GACGUAGGGCGCGAGCGUUGUCCGGAUUUAUUGGGCGUAAAGAGCUCGUAGGCGGCUUGUCGCGUCGACUGUGAAAUCCCGCGGCUCAACUGCGGGUCUGCAGUCGAUACGGGCAGGCUAGAGUUCGGUAGGGGAGACGUGGAAUUCCUGGUGUAGCGGUGAAAUUCGAUAGAUAUCAAGCGGAACACCGGUGGCGAAGGCGGCCUUUUGGACAGUGACUGACGCUGAGACGCGAAAGCGUGGGGAGCAAACAGG
rnacentral:rRNA from 1 species